ACUUUCGUGGUGCAACGGUAGCACACUCGGCGCGUAUUCCAGAGGUCCAGGUUCGAGUCCCGGCGAGAGCA
rnacentral:tRNA from 1 species